rnacentral:ncRNA from 1 species
AUGCUGUGAGCAAGUGAGAAUGCUGUGCGCAGUUUUACCCAGUAAAGCGAAUGUCUAGAGGUCUUGGGGCUGAAACGAUCUCAACCUAUUCUCAAACUUUCAAUGGGUAAGGGUGCCGGCUCGCUGGCGUGGAGCCGCGCCGUGGAAUGCGAGUGCUCAGUGGGCCACUUUUGGUAAGCAGAACUGGCUCUGCUGGAUGAACUG